AUUGAACGCUGGCGGCAGGCCUAACACAUGCAAGUCGAGCGGAUGAAGGGAGCUUGCUCCUGGAUUCAGCGGCGGACGGGUGAGUAAUGCCUAGGAAUCUGCCUGGUAGUGGGGGAUAACGUCCGGAAACGGGCGCUAAUACCGCAUACGUCCUGAGGGAGAAAGUGGGGGAUCUUCGGACCUCACGCUAUCAGAUGAGCCUAGGUCGGAUUAGCUAGUUGGUGGGGUAAAGGCCUACCAAGGCGACGAUCCGUAACUGGUCUGAGAGGAUGAUCAGUCACACUGGGACUGGGACACGGCACAGAGUGCGAGGGGAGGGAGCGGUGGAGAAGGACGGCCACGAGGCGAAUGAUGGAUACAGCCGUGUCGUGUGUGAGAAGAAGGUCUGGGGAUUGUAAAGGAUUUGGGGGGGGGAGGAGGGGUAUUAAGUGAAUACUGUGCUUUUUUGACGUAAAAAAAAAAAUAAGCACCGGCGAACUUCGUGCCAGCCGCGGCGCUAAUGAUCGACGAGCACUCGCCUGAAC
rnacentral:rRNA from 1 species